GGUUACAUUGGAGACAGGAGUGAAGGAUGCUUUAAAACUUCAAAACUUGUUCCUUUGAUGGGACAAUCUCACCAGUGCAAGACAACUGCUUGGCUCAUUUGUGGGAAGGCAAACAGAUUCGCAGAUGUAGAAAUUGGUCCACAUGAAGACAGUGGAUUCAGUUUUACAUCAAAGAUGAAGCUCAGCCGUGGCUGAACAGACUUAAUGAAAUCUCUCCAGCUUUGUCUAUAACCUUUUGUCAUUUGCAAAGAGGAAAGAUCACAUCAUACAAUCAUAGACUACCUCGAGUUCAAAGGGACCCAUGAGAAUCAUAGGGUCCAGCGCUCUGCCCCUCUCCAGACUACCUAAAACUAAAUUAUGUGACUAAGAGCAUCAUCCAAACGUGACUAUUCCAGGCUUUAAAGAAGCAUUAAUGAACAAUUUUUAUUUUGCCAUGAAUUUUAAAGGGUGAAAUAAUUGCACUGCUUGUGGAACAUCGUCUUUUCUU